UACGGGGGGAGCAAGCGUUGUUCGGAUUUACUGGGCGUAAAGGGCGCGUAGGCGGUCGUGACAAGUCACUUGUGAAAUCUCCGGGCUUAACCCGGAAAGGUCAAGUGAUACUGUCGGACUAGAGUACAGAAGGGGCAACUGGAAUUCUCGGUGUAGCGGUGAAAUGCGCAGAUAUCAGGAGGAACACCAAUGGCGAAGGCAGCUCGCUGGGACGGUACUGACGCUGAGACGCGAAAGCGUGGGGAGCAAACAGG
rnacentral:rRNA from 1 species